GAGAUUUUAAAGAGAGCACUGUGCCAAGUCAGAUAUUGACAGAGCCUUGUGAAUUGGAGUUUUCUAGUUUUGUGGGCUGAACUGGGUCCUGCAAAAUCCAUGUGUUGAAGCUCCCGAAGCCCAGAAUGUGACUUUAUAUGAAAAUAAUGCAUUUAAGAGUGGUGUCAAAAUGGGACAGGUAGGGUAGGCACCAAGCUGAUCUGAUCGUUGUCCUUACAAGCAGAGGAAUGCGAUGCUGGCAAGCAGCCUCCAGAACCGAGGAAGAAAGGAGGAAGCCUGGGGACGGCAGGAGAAGGUGGCUGUCUGCAAGCCCUGGAGAGAGGCCUGGAGCACAACCCUGGCACCACCCUGACCGUGAAGUUCUGCAGUGUAAGCUGCCUGGUCUCUCACACUUUGUUGUGACAGCCGUAACUACUGCAGGCAAGAGCCACGGGAGGACCCAAAUCAUGAUGGGUUUCUGGGGAGGGGUUUCCUGAUCCUAUCUCUAUCUCUGGUAGUCACAGAAAACUUGGUUUUCAUAGCUUCUAUGACUGCAGGUUGAUAGUUCUCAGAGGAGGUGUGUGUGUGUGUGUGUGUGUGUGUGUGUGCGCGUGCGUGCGUGUGUGUGUGUGUGUGUCUAUAUGCAUGUGUGCGAUGCCAGGCAGUUUUGGAGUGCUUCCUGUGUGUGUGGACUCCCCGAAUUCUCAACACAGUGUGAAAGAAUCACUCCCAUUUCAGAGAGUGACACUGAAUUUCAGAAGCAGUUCUGUUCUUGCCCUAAGAUCUACCCCCAAUUAUUGGAAGAACUGAGUAUAGAACAUGCACAGCCUCCAUUAGUACCGCAAAGUCUGCUGUCACUGUGCCAAGUUCUGCAGCCCACUGGACCCUGGAGACUGGGGAACAGCAAUCAAGAUAAGUCAUCAGUCAUCUGUAUUUUGACUGUGGAACAGGGACCCUGA
rnacentral:lncRNA from 1 species